UUGAAGAUAAGAAAGUGGGUGGUGGGUCCAUUGUCCUUUGAUUUGAUUUUUGUCAGCUGAUGUUUGUAUUGUGUCGAUACAAUUGUCUAUUUAAUGAGAGCAUGUACACACUGGUUGUGAAUGUUACAGAAAAGAUAUUUUAGAGAAAGCAAUAUUUUAGAACAGAGAUAGAAUUUAGAGAUAUAGAGAAAGUGAGCGAGAGUUCACAGAGAGCCGGAAGGUUCGAUGCCCAGAUGUUACAUUGAUGAUUUAUGUUUCAGAGAGAGCCGGAAGGUUCGAUGCCCAGAUGUUACAUUGAUGAUUUAUGUUUCAGUGUGGGAUUUUCAUAUCUUGAAUGUUUCAGGUACCGAGGAUGAGCUUGGAUUGAUAGUAGUGGGCUAGGUGGAAGGGUUGGUGUUGAAGAAUUAUUUAAUAAUUUUAUUUACAGAUGUUGUAUUUUUAUUUUGAGGAAAUUGAUUGUAGUAUCGAUAAAUGAUAUUUUAUUUCUUUUGA